rnacentral:rRNA from 1 species
CACGUAGGGUGCGAGCGUUGUCCGGAAUUAUUGGGCGUAAAGAGCUCGUAGGCGGUGUGUCGCGUCGGCCGUGAAAACCUGGGGCUUAACUCUGGGCUUGCGGUCGAUACGGGCAUCACUGGAGUUCGGCAGGGGAGACUGGAAUUCCUGGUGUAGCGGUGAAAUGCGCAGAUAUCAGGAGGAACACCGGUGGCGAAGGCGGGUCUCUGGGCCGAUACUGACGCUGAGGCGCGAAAGCCAGGGGAGCAAACGGG